CUAAUUUUUAGUGAAAUUUCAUAAAAAUAUAAAUCUUGUCAAUAAUUUUGGAGUCAAAUUCAAUGCUACAAAGUGAAGAUAUCUCAGGGACGUAAUAAUUUUCCAAGCAUCUUUUAUGACUGACUUCUAGGAUUAGAUGGGCAAUAAUUUGUGUUCAAUCACUUUCAUCUUCUAUGUUUAACUCUAAGAAGCAACAUAACAUUGUCC
rnacentral:lncRNA from 1 species